AGUCCUGUGGAGAGAAUUAUGGUGUCAUAGAGGCUUAGAAUCUUGGCAUUAGCAGGGAAGGGAACCCAUCUGGUUCAGGAGGCUUUGGCUUCUGAUAGUCAUGGACUCACUAGGCUGCUGAGGAAGAUCAAUAAUAUCUACUGGAAUCAGUCAUGAGAAGUCAAGCAUGGAAAUUGUGAAUUGAGAAGGGUGUGGCCAGACCAGACUCUCUAUUCUGCUCUGGGACCACAACCGUGGCGUUCAUCCUCUCAUCAUGUGCCAUAGGAGGGACCAGGGCGGAAACCAUUAGGGGCUUCUCCAGGGGCUGCGUACCUGUGCUGAGGCCCAGGGAUGUUCCCAGGAGAGCUUGGACUUCCUGGGAGGAGGAAGUACCUCCAAGUGUUCAGAAGAUGUGUGACCAGCCAAAACACAGUCAAUGCUGCCCAGCAAAAGGCAAUCAAUGCUGCCCACCAAAGCAGAACCAGUGCUGCCAGUCAAAAGGCAAUCAAUGCUGCCCGCCAGAACAGAACCAGUGCUGCCAGCCAAAAGGCAGUCAAUGCUGCCCACCAAAACACAAUCACUGCUGCCAGCCAAAACCCCCAUGCUGCAUUCAGGCCAGGUGCUGUGGUUUGGAGACCAAGCCUGAAGUCUCACCCCUUAACAUGGAGUCUGAGCCCAAUUCACCGCAAACUCAGGACAAGGACUCUCAAACCCAGCAGCAGCCCCAUAGCCCACAAAAUGAGUCUAAGCCAAGCAAAUGACAGCAGAGGUCAAACAAAGAAGAAGUCCCUGGGGCCAUGCCUUUCACUUUAUAGGGUGGGGGAUUACUGAGAGUCAGGCUAGACCUGUGUUUAGAGAAGCAGUUUUCACAGUGACUACCAUUUCCACCCAAUGAGAGGCUCCUAUUUCCCAUCAUAGCUCCCUACCCUAGGGAGGCCUCCAUCUGGAAAUGGGAGGAUGAAGAGGCUAGAAUCAUCUUUCCUAGUGAUCCUGACAUUUAGACAGCACAGAAAUAAAGAGCAAUAAAAAGAACAUUGCCUCCCUUUGUUCCUUUACUUACCUGUGAAACCAUCUCACCAGCCUGGCCUAGAGC
rnacentral:lncRNA from 1 species